GAUGAACGCUGGCGGCGUGCCUAAUACAUGCAAGUCGAGCGAACAGAUAAGGAGCUUGCUCCUUUGACGUUAGCGGCGGACGGGUGAGUAACACGUGGGUAACCUACCUAUAAGACUGGAAUAACUCCGGGAAACCGGGGCUAAUGCCGGAUAACAUGUUGAACCGCAUGGUUCUACAGUGAAAGGCGGCUUUGCUGUCACUUAUAGAUGGACCCGCGCCGUAUUAGCUAGUUGGUGAGGUAACGGCUCACCAAGGCAACGAUACGUAGCCGACCUGAGAGGGUGAUCGGCCACACUUGAACUGAGACACGGUCCAGACUCCUACGGGAGGCAGCAGUAGGGAAUCUUCCGCAAUGGGCGAAAGCCUGACGGAGCAACGCCGCGUGAGUGAUGAAGGUCUUCGGAUCGUAAAACUCUGUUAUUAGGGAAGAACAAAUGCGUAAGUAACUGUGCGCGUCUUGACGGGACCUAAUCAGAAAGCCACGGCUAACUACGUG
rnacentral:rRNA from 1 species